rnacentral:rRNA from 1 species
GCUCCCGGAUGUUAGCGGCGGACGGGUGAGUAACACGUGGGUAACCUGCCUGUAAGACUGGGAUAACUCCGGGAAACCGGAGCUAAUACCGGAUAGUUCCUUGAACCGCAUGGUUCAAGGAUGAAAGACGGUUUCGGCUGUCACUUACAGAUGGACCCGCGGCGCAUUAGCUAGUUGGUGAGGUAACGGCUCACCAAGGCGACGAUGCGUAGCCGACCUGAGAGGGUGAUCGGCCACACUGGGACUGAGACACGGCCCAGACUCCUACGGGAGGCAGCAGUAGGGAAUCUUCCGCAAUGGACGAAAGUCUGACGGAGCAACGCCGCGUGAGUGAUGAAGGUUUUCGGAUCGUAAAGCUCUGUUGUUAGGGAAGAACAAGUGCAAGAGUAACUGCUUGCACCUUGACGGUACCUAACCAGAAAGCCACGGCUAACUACGUGCCAGCAGCCGCGGUAAUACGUAGGUGGCAAGCGUUGUCCGGAAUUAUUGGGCGUAAAGGGCUCGCAGGCGGUUUCUUAAGUCUGAUGUGAAAGCCCCCGGCUCAACCGGGGAGGGUCAUUGGAAACUGGGAAACUUGAGUGCAGAAGAGGAGAGUGGAAUUCCACGUGUAGCGGUGAAAUGCGUAGAGAUGUGGAGGAACACCAGUGGCGAAGGCGACUCUCUGGUCUGUAACUGACGCUGAGGAGCGAAAGCGUGGGGAGCGAACAGGAUUAGAUACCCUGGUAGUCCACGCCGUAAACGAUGAGUGCUAAGUGUUAGGGGGUUUCCGCCCCUUAGUGCUGCAGCUAACGCAUUAAGCACUCCGCCUGGGGAGUACGGUCGCAAGACUGAAACUCAAAGGAAUUGACGGGGGCCCGCACAAGCGGUGGAGCAUGUGGUUUAAUUCGAAGCAACGCGAAGAACCUUACCAGGUCUUGACAUCCUCUGACAACCCUAGAGAUAGGGCUUUCCCUUCGGGGACAGAGUGACAGGUGGUGCAUGGUUGUCGUCAGCUCGUGUCGUGAGAUGUUGGGUUAAGUCCCGCAACGAGCGCAACCCUUGAUCUUAGUUGCCAGCAUUCAGUUGGGCACUCUAAGGUGACUGCCGGUGACAAACCGGAGGAAGGUGGGGAUGACGUCAAAUCAUCAUGCCCCUUAUGACCUGGGCUACACACGUGCUACAAUGGACAGAACAAAGGGCUGCGAGACCGCAAGGUUUAGCCAAUCCCACAAAUCUGUUCUCAGUUCGGAUCGCAGUCUGCAACUCGACUGCGUGAAGCUGGAAUCGCUAGUAAUCGCGGAUCAGCAUGCCGCGGUGAAUACGUUCCCG